GUUGCUACCGAUUGGCUGUGGGAUAGAGCUGGGGGGAGGGCGUCUCUUAGGGGUGACCUUUUGAGAUGCUGCGAAUCCCAGCAAUAUUUCUCAGCUAGAGGAAGCAAUAGUCGUAACAAGGUUGCUGUAGGUGAACCUGCAGAAGGAUCAAGAUCGAAGGAGGGCCGGGAGGGGAAGGAGGGUAGAUCACGGUGGUCGCGGAACAAUAAAAAAAAAAAAUAUCAUGUAACCGAUGUCUAGGCUGCUCAUCACACUACACCACUUCUUCCCACCUUU
rnacentral:misc_RNA from 1 species